GGUUUCUUGAUUGAUGUUUAAGAAAUCUGGCCUGCCCACUGAAAAAUUUUGAAGGGCCGCAGUAUUUUGACUGUGCGAAGGUAGCAUAAUCAUUAGUCUUUUAAUUGAAGGCUUGUAUGAAUGGUUGGAUGAGGUGAAUGCUGUUUUAUAUUAUUUUUUUUGAAUUUAGGUUUUAAGUAAAAAUACUUAAAUUAUAUUAAGGGACGAGAAGACCCUAUAGAGUUUAAUAAAUGUAGUAAUAAAUUGAGUUAAUAAGAAUUUUUUGGUUUUUAUGAUAUUUAUUUAAUUGGGGUGAUUAAAGAAUAUGGAAAACUUCUUUUUAAUUUUAAUAUUUAUAUGUAGUUAUAAGAUCCGCUAUUAGUGAUUAAAAGAUUAAAUUACCUUAGGGAUAACAGCAUAAUUUUCUUUGAGAGUUCAUAUCGAAAAGAAAGAUUAUGACCUCGAU
rnacentral:rRNA from 1 species